rnacentral:rRNA from 1 species
AACGUAGGAGGCAAGCGUUAUCCGGAUUUACUGGGCGUAAAGCGCGUGCAGGUGGUUUGGUAAGUCGUGCGUGAAAGCUCCGCGCUUAACGCGGAGAGGCCGUGCGAGACUGCCAGACUAGAGUCAGAUAGAGGCAAGUGGAAUUCCGGGUGUAGUGGUGAAAUGCGUAGAGAUCCGGAGGAAUACCAGUGGCGAAGGCGGCUUGCUGGGUCUAGACUGACACUCAGACGCGAAAGCAUGGGGAGCGAAC